AGAGUUUGAUCCUGGCUCAGAUUGAACGCUGGCGGCAGGCCUAACACAUGCAAGUCGAGCGGAUGAAGGGAGCUUGCUCCCUGAUUUAGCGGCGGACGGGUGAGUAAUGCCUAGGAAUCUGCCUGGUAGUGGGGGAUAACGUUCCGAAAGGAACGCUAAUACCGCAUACGUCCUACGGGAGAAAGCAGGGGACCUUCGGGCCUUGCGCUAUCAGAUGAGCCUAGGUCGGAUUAGCUAGUUGGUGAGGUAAUGGCUCACCAAGGCGACGAUCCGUAACUGGUCUGAGAGGAUGAACAGUCACACUGGAACUGAGACACGGUCCAGACUCCUACGGGAGGCAGCAGUGGGGAAUAUUGGACAAUGGGCGAAAGCCUGAUCCAGCCAUGCCGCGUGUGUGAAGAAGGUCUUCGGAUUGUAAAGCACUUUAAGUUGGGAGGAAGGGCAUUAACCUAAUACGUUAGUGUUUUGACGUUACCGACAGAAUAAGCACCGGCUAACUUCGUGCCAGCAGCCGCGGUAAUACGAAGGGUGCAAGCGUUAAUCGGAAUUACUGGGCGUAAAGCGCGCGUAGGUGGUUCGUUAAGUUGGAUGUGAAAGCCCCGGGCUCAACCUAGGAACUGCAUCCAAAACUGGCGAGCUAGAGUACGGUAGAGGGUGGUGGAAUUUCCUGUGUAGCGGUGAAAUGCGUAG
rnacentral:rRNA from 1 species